UACGUAGGUGGCAAGCGUUGUCCGGAUUUACUGGGCGUAAAGCGUAUGCAGGCGGUUACUUAAGUAGGAAGUGAAAGGUGGGAGCUCAACUCCCACAUUGCUCCCUAUACUGGGUGUCUUGAGUGGCGGAGAGGGAGAUGGAACGACACGUGUAGCGGUGAAAUGCGUUGAUAUGUGUCGGAACACCAAUGGCGAAAGCAAUCUCCUGGACGCAAACUGACGCUGAGAUACGAAAGCCAAGGUAGCAAACAGG
rnacentral:rRNA from 1 species